CAGUAGCCGCGGUAACACGUAGGGUGCAAGCGUUAAUCGGAAUUACUGGGCGUAAAGCGUGCGCAGGCGGUUAUAUAAGUCAGAUGUGAAAUCCCCGGGCUCAACCUGAGAACUGCAUUUGAGACUGUAUGGCUAGAGUGUGUCAGAGGGGGGUAGAAUUCCACGUGUAGCAGUGAAAUGCGUAGAUAUGUGGAGGAAUACCGAUGGCAAAGGCAGCCCCCUGGGAUAACGCUGACGCUCAUGCACGAAAGCGUGGGGAGCAAACAGAAUUAGAUACCCCAGUAGUCCCUGUCUCUUAUAC
rnacentral:rRNA from 1 species